AGGCUUUGCUUUCUUUUACUAACCAAUGUCGUUAGUUAACUUAUAACCAGGCUUAAUUCCUUUUGUCUUUGCCCUGCAUAUAUUUUCAUGCAAUCAAUGAAUUUAAUCCCUUUUUAUCAUGGUUUGAACAAAAUUGACGAAUGAAUUAAUAAUUAAUUCAUGUGAUAUAUGAAAGUUAUCAGAAGAAAAAGUAGGGUCUUUCACUUCGAUAACCCUAUUUGACCGAGCUGUUCGUCUGGGAAAGGUGAAAGUCUGUUGAAAGUCGAAGACAGCCUUCAAGAAAUGCGACUACUUGUUGGAAAGGACGAGCAACUGAAGACAUGACACGGUUGAGAUAUUUUAGCCAUGUUUGAAAGCGGCAGGUUAAAUACAGAAAAAUCGUCGAUGACAUAAAGAUGUACAAGAGAUGAAGAUCAGGAAGAAGAUAGAGAGGAGUACGUUAUUAUUUUUCCUGUCCUUAUCUUAACUUGUUUUUAGAUUUUUCGUUUAGAUGAGGAGGAGGCUGAUGAAAAGUAGAGGAGGAUGCUGACGAGAGACAAGAAGGAUGCAGAUGAAGAGACGAGGAUGCAGAUGAAGAGAAAAGGAGGAUGCAGAUGAAGA